rnacentral:misc_RNA from 1 species
UGGCUCUCGCAUCGAUGAAGAACGCAGCGAAAUGCGAUAAGUAAUGUGAAUUGCAGAAUUCAGUGAAUCAUCGAAUCUUUGAACGCACCUUGCGCUCUUUGGUCAAUCCGAAGAGCAUGCCUGUUUGAGUGUCAUUAAAUUCUCAACCUUUUAUCAGUUUACUGUUAUAAGGCUUGGAUUAUGGGGGUUUGUGCUGGCUCUAUUUUUGUAGUCAGCUCCUCUGAAACAUAUUAGCGAGUUCAAACUUCUUUCUAUUGGUGUGAUAGUUAUCUACGCCAAGAAUUGGGUUCAGACUUGCUUCUAAUCGUCUGCAAGGACAAUCAAUGACCAAUUUGACCUCAAAUCAGGUAGGACUACCCGCUGA